ACACACACACACACACACCACCAGAGGACAGUGAGUGGACACACCCUCGCCACAUUACCCUGAGGGGGUUGGAGAUUAAAGGAAAAGUGAGUCGGGCCUCACAUUAAACUGGCAAGUAGUCAUCACGGCUGCAGAAGGGACGUGCUUUUAGAAACAUUUGUUCCAGGAGUUUGUUAGAUUUGACUUUUGAAUUGGUCCCAUUUGGAACGUGUGUCCCUAGUGGCGCAUGAUGGAAUUACAGUGUGUAUAUACAUAUACACACAUAUAUAUUAUAUAUAUAUAUAUAUAUAUAUAUACACACACUUGUAUGUAUAUGUAUAUAUAUGUAAUAGUGUGAUGUUGUUGCGCUAUAUUAUGAACUAGACAGGGUGUUAUGUUUUAUUUUGAAGUAUUGCUUUUAUUUUGAAGAACCGGAUGUCCAGUGCAGGAAGUGACUCUGCGUUUUUCGGAUAAUUAUUUCCUCUUCUAUCGGACUUUUGCUGAUGAGGUGAUAGUUCUUCAUUGCUCUGUGUUUCUUUUUGUAAAAAAUAUUUCUAAACUUUAAUAAUACUUUAAAAGUUAAAAGAUUAAUGUUGUAGGUAUAAGUGAUGUGUUGUUGUAAGUAUUUUUUUAUGCACAAUUUUGGUAUCACUCCGCCAGAAAAGUAGAGACCCGUUUAUGUGUUUCCAAAAAAGAUUCAGGGAAAGAGAGAAGGUGUGUUCAGGGGCUGAAGUGAGCACUGACUUCAUGUUUAAUUUUGGGCCCAGGAGACCCAAAAAGGAGGUCUUGACGCCACCCUGAUGCUAUCUGAUGUUGAACAGAGACUCCAAGGCAAAUACACUCAAAUAUUUUGACCCGUUUUGCACUUUUAUCAGAACUUUUAUCACUUUUAGCCAUUAUGAGCUCAUUGCUUGGACAAAGCCUUACUUUAGAUCCUAGACAUUAAUAACAGAUACACUGUAAAAGUGGGGAUUAUUCCACUACCUUCUAGACAGUAAUAAUAUUUGUACUAGAUAUCCUGCAAAAGUAGGCCCCUCCCCCUUUAGCAAAAAGAUAUAUAACUUUUUUUUUUGGGGUGGUGGGGAAAUAGGUCAGGUGUUAUUUGCAGCAUGUGUAGAUGCUCAUUUAAAGCCACAAAGCAAUCGUAUACACUGCAACAAAAACAAAAACACUCUUAUCAUAUUUUUAAAACGUCUUAUGUGUCUAAUUAAAAAAAAAAAAAGAUAAUCAUUAAAUUAUGUUAUGAAGUGGUUAAACAAAAAUAAUGGAAGCUUAUAUUUUGACAUUACAAUAAUUUAGUUUUAUUUUUGAACAAUUUAUUAAUAAUAAUAUAUUAUUUGUGGCAAAUUAAUAUAGUUUGAUAAUUUUUCUACU